rnacentral:lncRNA from 1 species
UGUUAAACAACUUCCACCUUGAUCAUCUGGAUAUGGAUCAGGAUGAUGACCUAUUUGGCACCUUUGGCCACUUUGGCUUCAGUGAACUCAAUGGGAUGGCCAAAAAGAAACCCUUGUGUUAGGAAGUCUUCUAAGAAGUCUCCAGUGACUCUACCUCAUGCAGACUCUCUCCUUUCCUGGCUUUGAUGAAGCAAGCUGCCACACUGGAGAGGCCUACAUGAUAAGGACCUGAAGGUGGCCUCCAGCUAGCUCCAGCCAACAGUUGGCAAGGAAUUGAGGACCUGAGUCCAAUAGACCUUGAGGAACUGAAUCCUGCAACAGCUACACAAGUGAGCAUGGCAGUGUAUCCUUCCCCAGUAAAGCCUUCAGAUGAGACCCCAGCCCCAGCUGACACCUUGAUUGAAGCCUUGUGAGAGACCCUGAAGCAGAGAAACCAGCUAGGCCUUGCCUGGAUUCCUGAUCCACAAACUGCUUUUGUGAUGCCCUAUAAUUACAUGAACUCUACUAAAAAGAGGGAUACUGGAAAGAAGAAUAAUGUUGAGACACCUUUGCAGAAGAAAAAACAACUUCCUCUCUUCCUCUACUUCACUCUGGCAAGUUCUCCAACCUGACAAGCCAGUAGGGAGUGCCGGAAUGUCAUGGCUGAGAAAAGAGAUGUUAACAGGCUGUAUGAUGUUGGCCACAGAGUGCCCCCCUAAAGAGGCCUCAGAAGAAUGAAGGGAGUGCCGGAAUGUCAUGGCUGAGAAAAGAGAUGUUAACAGGCUGUAUGAUGUUGGCCACAGAGUGCCCCCCUAAAGAGGCCUCAGAAGAAUGAAGGGUAAGAAGCUCCUCCAUGAAAUCAGAUGGCACAAAAUUAGAGGAAAAAGAGUCCUUGGCAUGAGGCUGCCACCAGGAGAAUUCUGAAGAUGCAGGGCAUGAAUGGUCAAUGCCUUUCGUUGUUGGGGCAGAGGUGGAUGACCCACCAGAGCCACCUAGAGAUAACAUUUCCGGAAAAGUCUUCAAGACGUAAACCAGGCAUUACCCAAGUCCCACUUCGCUGUUUGGAGCCCUUAACUUGGACCCCACCAACUACACUGCCUUGAAAGCCUGAAAUACUGCCUGGAAUAUUUGUUGUACCCAGGCUUUUCUACUCUCAGGAUCACAUAUGUCCUCAAAUCCGUCUUAUCUACAGUAUGUUUUUGCCUUACAUAAAUGCAGAUAUAAAACUUAAACUUCCUUUAUUCUUACUUCGUUUCGUGAAUGGUGAACAUUACAUUCUUUGUUUGAAGUCAGUUUUUACUAUUUCCAAUCAGAGGGACUGACUCAAAUGAUUAAAACUAACGUUAUCAAGGAAAAGAAGCUCCCUGCCCAAUUUGAUUUUUUUGAGAAAAGAUGUUUUUAUUGGAAAUUAACCAAAAAGGAGACAGGAGUCCAGCUCAAAUCAGUCCUGUGUGCUGGCUUUCAUGCAGUCAUUUUAUUAGAAAACAUUUAGGGAGUGGCCUCUGGAAUUAAUAGUUGAUUGCUGGAAGGAAAGGGGAGGUCUGAAAAUCCUCGGCAUGCACAGUUUUCUUUAACGCUGCCUCAUGUAUUCCAUGGGCACAUUUGUGGGGAGUUGGUUAAAAUGUGGCAGAAAUUUGGGCUGUGACGCCAGCCAGCUUGUUCUGUGCAAACUCCAGUUGGCCUUAAUAGUUUUAAUCCAUUUUAGCCAGUUUUUAAAUCUCAGAAGCAGGGAGAGUUUCGGCAUUUUAGCAAGUUACUGUUGUUGUUUUUGUUUGAUCUCCUUUCUUGUAAACUGAUUAAUUUCAUUAGUCAUUGUUUUCUUCAACUCUCUGGGGCAUGGUUUCACUAAUAAUGCAUUAUUUAACAUCUACAAAAUGAAAAUAAGUGUACAAUAAAUGUAUAUAAUUGAAACUUC